GGGCUUGUGGCGGAAUUGGUAUACGCGUACGCUUCAGGAGCGUAUGGACUUUGUCCUUGAGAGUUCAAAUCUCUCCAAGCCCA
rnacentral:tRNA from 1 species